AGAACGAACGCUGGCGGCAGGCCUCAAACAUGCAAGUCUAGGGGAUGUAGCAAUACAUCACCGGCGGACGGGUGCGUAACACGUGGGAAUAUACCUUUCGGUACGGAACAACUGCGGGAAACUGCAGCUAAUACCGUAUACGUCCUUACGGAGAAAGAUUUAUCGCCGAAGGAUUAGCCCGCGUUCGAUUAGCUAGUUGGUGAGGUAAUGGCUCACCAAGGCGACGAUCGAUAGCUGUUCUGAGAGGAAGAUCAGCCACACUGGGACUGAGACACGGCCCAGACUCCUACGGGAGGCAGCAGUUGGGAAUCUUGGACAAUGGGGGAAACCCUGAUCCAGCCAUGCCGCGUGAGUGAUGAAGGCCUUCGGGUUGUAAAGCUCUUUUACCCGGGAAGAUAAUGACUGUACCGGGAGAAUAAGCUCCGGCUAACUUCGUGCCAGCAGCCG
rnacentral:rRNA from 1 species